CAGCAGCCGCGGUAAUACGGAGGAUGCAAGCGUUAUCCGGAUUCAUGGGGUUUAAAGGGUGCGCAGGCUGUAAAGCAAGUCAGUGGUGAAAGCCCUGGGCUUAACUCAGGGAUUGCCAUUGAAACUGUUUUACUAGAGUGUAGUAGAGGACGGCGGAAUGAGUUGUGUAGCGGUGAAAUGCAUAGAUAUAACUCAGAACACCUAUUGCGUAGGCAGCUGUCUAUACUACAACUGACGCUGAGGCACGAAAGCGUGGGGAGCGAACAGGAUUAGAUACCCUGGUAGUCCACGCUGUAAACGAUGAUCACUCGUUGUUGGCUACUUAGUAGUCAGUGACCAAGGGAAACCGAUAAGUGAUCCACCUGGGGAGUACGUCGGCAACGAUGAAACUCAAAGGAAUUGACGGGGGCCCGCACAAGCGGAGGAACAUGUGGUUUAAUUCGAUGAUACGCGAGGAACCUUACCUGGGCUUAAAUGCUGGCUGCAUUGGAGGGAAACCUUCAUUUCCUACGGGACCGCCAGCAAGGUGCUGCAUGGUUGUCGUCAGCUCGUGCCGUGAGGUGUCGGGUUAAGUCCCAUAACGAGCGCAACCCCUAUCGCUAGUUGCCAGCAUGUAAUGGUGGGGACUCUAGCGAGACUGCCGGUGUAAACCGGAGGAAGGUGGGGAUGACGUCAAAUCAGCACGGCCCUUACGUCCAGGGCUACACACGUGUUACAAUGGCCGGUACAAAGAGCAGCCACCUGGCGACAGGGCGCUAAUCUCUAAAACCGGUCUCAGUUCGGAUCGAAGUCUGCAAUUCGACUUCGUGAAGGUGGAUUCGCUAG
rnacentral:rRNA from 1 species